GGAUGCCAACAAAGAAGCAUCAUUAAAGUCUCUCUUCUCCCUUCCGUCGUGUCUAAGUCAGAGUCUCCUAAAGAGCCCGAAUAGCUGAGGAAGCUCUUCAUUGGAGAGUUGAGGUUUGAAACAACCGACGAGAGCCUGAGGAGCCAUUUUGAGCGAUGGGGAAUGCUCACAGACUGUGCGGUAAUGAGAGAUCCAAACACCAAGCGCUCCAGGGGCUUUGGGUUUGUUACAUACGCCACUGUGGAGGAGGUGGAUGCAGCCACGAAUGCAAGGCCACACAAGGUGGAUGGAAAAGUUGUGGAACCAAGGAGAACUGUCUCAAGAGAAGAUUAUCAAAGAUCAGGUGCCCACUUAACUGUGAAAAAGAUAUUUGUUGGUGGCAUUAAAGAAAACACUGAAAAACAUCAGCUAAGAGAUUAUUUUGAACAGCAUGGAAAAAUGGAAGUGAUUGAAAUCAUGACUGAGGCAGUGGCAAGAAAAGGGGCUUUGCCUUUGUAACCUUUGACGACCAUGACUCCAUGGAUAAGAUUGUCAUUCCGAAAUACCAUACUGUGAAUGGCCACAACUGUGAAGUUAGGAAAGCCCUGUCAAAGCAAGAGAUGGCUAGUGCUUCUUCCAGCCAAAGAGGUCAAAGUGGUUCUGGAAACUUUGGUGGUGGUUGUGGAGGUGGUUUCUGUGGGAAUGACAACUUUGGUCAUGGAGGAAACGUCAGUGGUCGUGGUGGCUUUGGUGGCAGCCAUGGUGGUGGUGGAUAUGGUGGCAGUGGGGAUGGCUAUAAUGGAUUUGGUAAUGAUGGAAGCAAUUUGGAGGUGGUGGAAGCUACAAUGAUUUUGGCAAUUACAACAGUCAGUCUUCAAAUUUUGGACCCGUGAAGGGAGGAAACUUUGGGGCAGAAGCUCUGGCCCCUAUGGUGGCGGAGGCCAAUACUUUGCCAAACCACCAAACCACAGUGGCUAUGGUGGUUCCAGUAGCAGCAGUAGCUAUGGCAGUGGCAGAAGAUGUUAAUUAGGAAACAGAGCUUAGCAGGAGAGGAGAGCCAGAGAAGUGACAGGGAAGCUGCAGUUUACAACAGAUUCGUGAACUCAGCCAAGCACAGUGGUGACAGGGCCUAGCUGCUACAAAGAAGACAUAUUUUAGACAAAUAUUCAUGUGUAUGGGCAAAAAACUUGAGGACUGUAUUUGUGACUAAUUGUAUAACAGGUUAUUUUAGUUUCUGUUCUGUGGAAAGUGUAAAGCAUUUCAACAAAGGGUUUUAAUGUAGAUUUUUUUCCUUGCACCCAUGUUGUUGAUUGCUAAAUGUAAUAGUCUGAUCGUGACGCUGAAUAAAUGUCUUUUUUUUUUUAAUGUGCUGUGUAAAGUUAGUCUACUCUGAAGCCAUCUUGGUAAAUUUCCCCAGCAGUGUGAAGUUGGAAUUCCUUCAGGGUGAUGCCAGGUUCUAUUUGGAAUUUACAUACAACCUGCUUGGGUGGAGAAGCCAUUGUCUUCAGAAACCUUGGUGUAAUUGAAUUGAUAGUUACUGUUGUGACCUGAAGUUCACCAUUAAAAGGGACUACCCAAGCAAAAUCAUGGAAUUAUUGGUUAUAAAAAUGAUUGUUGGCACAUCCUAUGCAAUAUAUCUAAAUUGAAUAAUGGUACCAGAUAAAAUUAUAGAUGGGAAUGAAGCUUGUGUAUC
rnacentral:lncRNA from 1 species